CCUGGUGGUAGGUGGGAAGGAACAAUUAAGCUUAAGUUCCUCCAGACUCUCCCACUUGUCUGCUCUGCUCCACCUCAAAUAAAAAAGAGAUUGGGACAAGACUGGGUGUGAGGAAGAAGUAGCUGAGUUUGGGGUCUUACCAGCCAAUUUCUGAAGGGGGAACUAGGUACUAAUCUGACUAGUUGGGGGGUUCUUCACUGAUUGUACAGCUUGUGUAUGAUGUGUGGCAGCAAGUGUUUCUGCUUGAGGAUUCCCUCAUUGCCUUUGGUUAUGAACCACUGCCCCAGCAAGAUCCAGCUGCUGCCCAUAAUUCCUAGCCACAUCCCUAUACCAAAGUGACUUCAAGAAGACUGCUCGUAUGGAAGAGCUGUACACUUUGCAAGACUCUGAAGGACAAGGAUUGGCUUUAUUGUAUUGCUACCUUGUACCAUGUAAAUACUGCUUAACAUCCUAUUAAAAAGCUACGUUUAAUAAAAGAAA